rnacentral:rRNA from 1 species
AGAGUUUGAUCCUGGCUCAGAUUGAACGCUGGCGGCAGGCUUAACACAUGCAAGUCGAGCGGUAACAGGCCUUCGGGUGCUGACGAGCGGCGGACGGGUGAGUAACGCGUAGGAAUCUGCCUGAUAGAGGGGGAUAGCCCGGGGAAACUCGGAUUAAUACCGCAUACGCCCUACGGGGGAAAGCAGGGGAUCUUCGGACCUUGCGCUAUCAGAUGAGCCUGCGUCGGAUUAGCUAGUUGGUAGGGUAAAGGCCUACCAAGGCGACGAUCCGUAACUGGUCUGAGAGGAUGAUCAGUCACACUGGAACUGAGACACGGUCCAGACUCCUACGGGAGGCAGCAGUGGGGAAUAUUGGACAAUGGGGGCAACCCUGAUCCAGCCAUGCCGCGUGUGUGAAGAAGGCCUUCGGGUUGUAAAGCACUUUAAGCAGGGAGGAAAGGGUGAUGGCUAAUAUCCAUCAUCAUUGUCGUUACCUGCAGAAUAAGCACCGGCUAACUUCGUGCCAGCAGCCGCGGUAAUAC